CGGGGUGUAGCUCAGUUGGCAGAGUACGCGUCUGGGGGGCGUGGGGUCGGAAGUUCAAGUCUUCUCACCCCGA
rnacentral:tRNA from 3 species